rnacentral:sRNA from 1 species
ACUCAAAAUUCUACGUUAGAGAGACUGAAAAGACAUCUAAUUUCAUUGCUCGGCAGCUUAGCAGAGUGAGCACAUAGCAUGUGUUGGAAGAGACAACAUCCUGUGCCUGCUCUCCAGAAUGUUGAGAUUGCCCGAGAAGUGACCCCAGCAAAAGAAAAAUAUUGCUCUACCUAAAUUCAAGAGGAAUUCCACAAAUUGUUACCACAUACCUGUGUGGCUUCACCAUUGUGAAGGAAGAAUGAAGACCUAAGCUGAGCCAGGUUGUCGGCUUCAACCCAACAUUAUUGUCGUUGUUGUUGUUUCCUCUUCUUUAUUAGUUUUAAAUGUUAAUUGCACUAUGUUAAAAUUCUGUUGUCUGGGUUAAGGUUGGGGAAUUUGUUGCUGUGUUUUAUAAAUUUUUGUUAAGUUCAUAAUUGGUGAAGAAAUACUGUGAUACAGGUUUAACCUGUUAUUUCAAUACAGAAGGCACCAGAAUAAUUUUCAAGCCAUACAUUGA